rnacentral:misc_RNA from 1 species
AUGUUGAUAAACUGCUUCGUUACUCUAGCAAUGAGAUGCGAAACGAUGCUUCUACUUCUUAUACCCCUCUUUUGCGUCCCUCCUUCUGUUAUCUCAUUUAAACUGACGACCCUCCAGAAAGAUGCCAAUCUGACCAGUUUAGAAGAGCGGUUGACCAAUCUAGAACAGACGAUAGAAAGUCGUCUGGCUGUGACGGAGCGCGUCUUAGGACAACUGCUGACCGGGCAGGCUGAUGAAAACUUGGAGACUUUGGAUGUUUUGAGUCUGAGAUCUGGUGAGUUUAUCAUGAACGAAGAUGGGGGAAUAAGAUGGCGCAAAUGCCCAUUCGGUUUAGUAGUUAAAUACAAUUUUAAAUUUAUUUUUCCCCAAUUAAAUCUAUUCAAAUAUAUUAUAAUACAACUUUGCAAAAGCGAAAUUUCUAACUAUAGUCAGUUUUUAAUAUAUUUAACAAAGUAUAAGAAAAAAAAAAUAUUGUCGGAAAUUUUGGUGGCAUCGAACCCGUAACAUAAAAACCCUAGAUAUAUACGGUUAGCUUAUGCCAGGUACUCUAACCACUGAGCCAUUUCAGACACAACAAAGGCGGAUUUUUAAAUAUUAUGUGUGACUUAGGUCACGAAUUACCGGACUUGUAUUAUUUUUUCAAUACGUUCAGUUGUUGGGAUACAAAAUGAUAUUUUUAAUGUAUAGUGGGUCAUCUCUCCACGUUUUUGUUGAUUGAAAUCGGUUUGUUUUCCAUUAGACCUUAAUUAGACGAUGAGAAAAAUGUGGAGCACAGACCCACUCUAUAAAAGAAUAUGCCUUGAAGUUCUAAAAAAUGACAAUAUUUGGAGGUUUUGAUACGUAUGCGCCUGUUUGAGUCAACAUAUUCCAAGUAUUGAACAUACCUACAGGUUACAAAUCAAUGAUUCGUUAAAUAUAUAUUGUUUUAAAUGAUUUUUAAAAAAUCCAUCAGAUUUGUUGAUACUUUAAUUUUUUAGUAGCCUGUCCGACCGCGUAUGGGCAUUUUACGGCAAUCUUACACGCCUUAUCCACCCAUCUUCUUUAUCUUUUGGCAUUUUACAAAAUCUUAUGGUUCCAUUUUUAUCUAGCAACUUGAUUUUAUUUAACCUGUAAAUUUAGUUUUGUGUGGGUUUAAAAAUCAUUUGAGUACAAAAAAUAAAAUCACUUAUUCACUUUUAUUUUAAGAAAGCAGAAAAAAAUACUUACAAAAAUAAACAAAGGUUAUGGUUAUGAAAGUUUUUUAUGUACUUUUUCAGGAGUACUUGUUCCAGCUUUCUCUCCUAUCUUGUUUUCUGCGUAUAAAUCGUUCGACGAAGGCGGCAUUAGUACAAAAGUAACAAUCAGGUUCGAUGAAACUUAUAUCAACCUUGGAGACCACUACCACACAGAGGACGGUAUCUUCAUUGCCCCCGUCACAGGGGUCUAUAUGUUCCACUGGACCAUUGCAACCGGUGGUACUGGCUUCACCACUCAGCUGAUGGUGGCAGGAUCCGUGCGGGCUUCGAACCUAGUUCCUUACCCUGGCGGAUCAGACUCUAGUUCAGCAAUGGUCAUCAUCACCGUCAACAAAGAUGACCACGUCUGGAUCCAGAUCUAUGGGUCUUCAAAACAUGUGUACGGUGGUAGUAUUUCGUACAACAAAUAUCAAUCGACGUUUUCUGGGAUUUUGUUGCAAAAGACAUAAGUUAAAUGUUUUAUUGAGAUGAUAUAUAACAUAAUUAACCACUAGCUAUUACAUGUAUUAUGCAGAUUUUGUGUCAAUAAAGAGAAUACCUAC